rnacentral:rRNA from 1 species
UACGAAGGGGGGCUAGCGUUGUUCGGAAUUACUGGGCGUAAAGCGCACGUAGGCGGGUUGUUAAGUCAGGGGGUGAAAAUCCUGGAGCUCAACUCCAGAACUGCCUUUGAUACUGGCAACCUAGAGACUGGAAGAGGUUAGUGGAAUUCCCAGUGUAGAGGUGAAAUUCGUAGAUAUUGGGAAGGAACACCGAUGGUGCGAAGG